rnacentral:rRNA from 1 species
UCUGUUUGAUCCUGCCAGAGGUUACUGCUAUCGGUGUUCGACUAAGCCAUGCAAGUCAUAUGUUCUUCGUGAACAUGGCAUACUGCUCAGUAACACGUGGAUAACCUGCCCUUGGGUCUGGGAUAACCCCGGGAAACUGGGGAUAAUACCGGAUAACGCAUAUGUGCUGGAAUGCUUAUGCGUAAAACGGAUUCGUCCGCCCAAGGAUGGGUCUGCGGCCUAUCAGGUAGUAGUGGGUGUAAUGUACCUACUAGCCAACAACGGGUACGGGUUGUGAGAGCAAGAGCCCGGAGAUGGAUUCUGAGACAUGAAUCCAGGCCCUACGGGGCGCAGCAGGCGCGAAAACUUUACAAUGCGGGAAACCGUGAUAAGGGAACACCGAGUGCCAGCAUCAUAUGCUGGCUGUCCAGAUGUGUAAAGUACAUCUGUUAGCAAGGGCCGGGCAAGACCGGUGCCAGCCGCCGCGGUAACACCGGCGGCCCGAGUGGUGACCGUUAUUAUUGGGUCUAAAGGGUCCGUAGCCGGUUUGGUCAGUCCUCCGGGAAAUCUGAUAGCUUAACUGUUAGGCUUUCGGGGGAUACUGCCAGGCUUGGAACCGGGAGAGGUAAGAGGUACUACAGGGGUAGGAGUGAAAUCUUGUAAUCCCUGUGAGACCACCUGUGGCGAAGGCGUCUUACCAGAACGGGUUCGACGGUGAGGGACGAAAGCUGGGGGCACGAACCGGAUUAGAUACCCGGGUAGUCCCAGCCGUAAACUAUGCUCGCUAGGUGUCAGGCAUGGCGCGACCGUGUCUGGUGCCGCAGGGAAGCCGUGAAGCGAGCCACCUGGGAAGUACGGCCGCAAGGCUGAAACUUAAAGGAAUUGGCGGGGGAGCACAACAACGGGUGGAGCCUGCGGUUUAAUUGGACUCAACGCCGGACAACUCACCGGGGACGACAGCAAAAUGUAGGCCAGGCUGAAGACCUUGCCUGAGUCGCUGAGAGGAGGUGCAUGGCCGUCGCCAGUUCGUACUGUGAAGCAUCCUGUUAAGUCAGGCAACGAGCGAGACCCA